rnacentral:rRNA from 2 species
AUUUAGUGGGGAAUAACUGUUGGAAACGACAGCUAAUACCGCAUAAUAUUGCUGGAUAAUUUCCAGUAAUGAAAGGAGCUUUCAAGCUCCGCUGAUUGAUGAGGAUGCGGCGCAUUAGCUAGUUGGUAGGGUAAUGGCCUACCAAGGCAAUGAUGCGUAGCCGAUCUGAGAGGAUGAACGGCCACAUUGGGACUGAGACACGGCCCAAACUUCUACGGAAGGCAGCAGUAGGGAAUUUUUCACAAUGGGCGAAAGCCUGAUGGAGCAAUGCCGCGUGACUGAUGAAGGUCUUCGGAUUGUAAAGGUCUGUUGUAAGGGAAGAAAUGGUAAAACAGGAAAUGGUUUUAUCUAUGACGGUACCUUACCAGAAAGCCACGGCUAACUAUGUGCCAGCAGCCGCGGUAAUACAUAGGUGGCAAGCGUUAUCCGGAUUUAUUGGGCGUAAAGGGUGCGUAGACGGUUUUGCAAGUCUGANGUUAAAUUUAGGAGCUCAACUCCUAAUCGCCUUGGAAACUACNAGACUAGAGUAUAGGAGAGGUUAGUGGAAUUCC